AACCUGGUUGAUCCUGCCAGUAGUCAUAUGCUUGCUUCAAGGAUUAAGCCAUGCAAGUGUCGAGUAAGCUUACAUAUUGUUGAUCUGCGUACAGCUCAUUACACCAGUCGUAAUCUACCUGCAUGAGUCACUUUGUGAUCGAGUGGAUAACUUCAGUAACUCUGAAGCUAAUACAUGGACGAAUAAUCGGACGGCUAUUCAAGUCAAGGAGUAACAUCCGAGACUGGCUGUACGAUGCUUUUGGUCGAGAAAGAAACUGGUCAAUAAGAUUGAAUCUUUCGUGGCAUUAGACCAUUCUGUGCAAGGAAACAGGCUUUCGAGCUAUUCCGUGUGCGGUUGAGCGACUGACCUAUCAGCUUGUUUGCAAUGUAUUGGACUGCAGAGGCGUUGACGGGUAACGGAGAAUCAGGGUUCGAUUCCGGAGAGGGAGCCUGAGAGACGGCUGCCAUGUCUAAGGACAGCAGCAGGCGCGCAAAUUGCCCAAUACUAGCAUGAGCGAGGCAGCGACGAGAAGUAUUUACCUUGUGCUCUUCAUGAUUACGAGGAUAGAAAUGGGUGAUAUCCAAAACCAUCACUGAGGAUCGAUUGGAGGGCAAGUCUGGUGCCAGCAGCCGCGGUAAUUCCAGCUCCAAUAGCGUAUACUAAUGCUGUUGCUGUUAAAAAGCUCGUAGUUCGACAAGGAAUGAGUCUGGUUCCGAGUCAGAGAGCGUAACCUGUUACCUUUUUCGAUAAGAGCCAUAUGGAUUCGUUUCUGUAAUGGUGGUGAGAUCCGGAUGAAGAGCACUUCAUUGUGCUUGGAAUCGACUCCGCAGUCAACAUCUGCACAAGGAUCUACUGCUGUGAUACCGUGAACAAAACAGCGUGCUCAAAGCAAGUGAUACCGCUCGAAUGUUCAAGCAUGGAAUAUCAAGGAAGCGACCGUCAAGUUAAUCUUUGCUGGUUUCUGUAACCGUAUUGGGGAAUUGGACUUGAGAUUAUCGAAGAGCUUCUGUUCCUCGUGUUCAGUUGCUCUCUCGAAGCUCUGGUUUACCGGUAUUAACAGGGGUGAACGGAGCUGUACGUAUUAGCACGCCGAGAGGUGAAAUUCUUAGACCGUGCUAAGACGAACCUAAGCGAAGGCAUUCAGCAAGUAUACCUUCACUAAUCAAGAACGAGAGUGCAGGGAUCGAAGAUGAUCAGAUACCGUCGUAGUCUGCUACUGUAAACGAUGCGAACUCGGGAUCAGCUAUUGCUUAUCAUCUGAUUACUAGGCUGGGACCAUUCUACCUUCCUAGCGCGAAAGCUUUAAGUUUAUGCGUUCAGGGGGGAGUACAGUUGCAAGGCUGAAACUUAAAGGAAUUGACGGAAUGACACCACAAGGCGUGGAUGCUGCGGCUUAAUUUGACUCAACACGGGGAAUCUCACCAGGUCAGGACGCAUGUUGGAUUGACAGAUUGAAAGCUCUUUCUUGAUUAUGUGUAUGGUGGUGCAUGGCCGCUCCUGGUUGGUGGAGUGAUUUGUCUGGUUGAUUCCGUUAACGAACGAGAUCUUGACGAUUUAAUGACAGUUUGAUCGAAAUGUAGUUCAAUGCUCUUGCGCUUGCGUACUGAUGUUGGAUGAGAUCUUGUCUUGUACUUAAUCGGACGAUGCAUGUUUACAAUGCAUGGAAGUGCGAGCCAAUAGCAGGUCUGUGAUGCUCCUAGAUGUCCUGGGCUGCACGCGGCAUACAAUGAAGAAGAAAACGAGUUUGGUUUGUUUGAGCUCCUUGUCUGAAACGAUUGGGGAAUCUGUUCAACCUUCUUCGUAUCGGGGAUCGUUGCUUGCAAUUAUUUGCCUUGAACCAGGAAUGCCUUGUAUACUCACCUCAGCAAAGUGAAUAGAAUACGUCCCUGCCGUUUGUACACACCGCCCGUCGUUGCAAUCGAUCGGUUCAAUGCUAGAGGUCUUCUCGAGAUGAUUUCUAACAUCCGUUGGAGAUUGUCAACGUUGAUCAAUAGCAUUGAACUAGAGAAUGCAAAAGUCGUAACAAGGUUGCUGUAGGUGAACCUGCAGAAGGAUCA
rnacentral:rRNA from 1 species